AUCUAGAAUGGGAAAAGAUCAAGGACGGAUUGUAGGGGAGCCAAAUGACCCUGAGGCCUUUCCCUUUAUGUCAUGGUCUCUCACAUGAUACCAUGAGAGGAAGAGCCACUGAACUCUUCAAGGCAAGAAUGAAGUCAAAAGAGACAGUAGAAGUUGAUUCAGCUAUGACCAUCAAAGAUGAUGAUUCUAGCAAGUACAAUGAGAGGAAGGGAAGACGAGAGAAGUGGAAAACGAGAGAGGGGUUUCUGAGCCAUGACUUCACGUACAGGAAAAGCAAGCAAGCUUUGGAGGGCUUGAGAAAUGUCUUGAACUUCAGCUCAGCUUCUUCAGUUUCUGGGUAAUAUUUAUUAUGGGUGUUUGAUAUUUAGAAUGGGAAAUACAAAAGAAGCAAGACCUGCUUUUUACUU
rnacentral:lncRNA from 1 species